CCUACGGGAGGCAGCAGUGAGGAAUAUUGGUCAAUGGCCGAGAGGCUGAACCAGCCAAGUCGCGUGAGGGAAGACGGCCCUACGGGUUGUAAACCUCUUUUGUCGGGGAGCAAAGCGAACCACGUGUGGUUCAUUGAGAGUACCCGAAGAAAAAGCAUAGGCUAACUUCGUGCCAGCAGCCGCGGUAAUACGGAGGCAGCGAGCGUUAUACGGUUUUAUUGGGUUGAAAGGGUGCGCAGGAGGAGGUGAAAGUUAGCGGUCAAAUUGCGGGGCUCAACCCCGUACUGCCGUUGAAACUGCAUCCCUUGAGUGCGCGAGAAGUAUGCGGAAUGCGUGGUGUAGCGGUGAAAUGCAAAGAUAUCACGCAGAACUCCGAUUGCGAAGGCAGCAUACCGGCGCCCAACUGACGCUGAAGCACGAAAGCGUGGGUAUCGAACAGGAUUAGAUACCCGGGUAGUC
rnacentral:rRNA from 1 species